rnacentral:lncRNA from 1 species
UCGAGACGCUGAGUCGGAACCCGCACUCGCGAGUUACCUCUACUCAACGAUUCUCUCUCACUCGUCGCUCGAACGCUCUCUCUCAUUUCACCUCGGCAACAAGCUCUGCUCCUCGACUCUGCUCUCUACUCUCCUCUACGAUCUAUUCCUGGACACCUUCUCCAAAGAUGCGGAGCUGCGAUCCGCCACCGUCGCCGAUCUACGCGCCAAUCAUAUGCGUGACCCGGCCUGCGUGUCGUUCUCGCAUUGUCUCCUGAAUUACAAGGGUUUUCUGGCUUGCCAGGCUCACAGAGUGGCUCACAGGCUCUGGACUCAGAUGAGGCGGCCGCUCGCGCUCGCGCUUCAGUCGCGGAUUGCUGACGUGUUCGCGGUGGAUAUCCACCCGGCGGCGAGGAUUGGGAAGGGGAUUCUGUUUGAUCACGCCACCGGAGUGGUGGUCGGAGAGACGGCGGUGAUCGGUAACAAUGUAUCGAUUCUGCAUCACGUGACGCUCGGCGGCACGGGCAAGGCCGGCGGUGACCGCCAUCCAAAAAUCGGAGAUGGAGUUCUGAUUGGAGCGGGAGCAACGAUUCUGGGGAACAUAAAGAUCGGGGAGGGAGCGAAGAUAGGAGCGGGGUCGGUGGUGCUGAUCGAUGUGCCGGCGAGGACAACGGCGGUUGGGAAUCCGGCGAGGCUAGUGGGAGGGAAAGAGAAGCCUGCGAGGCAUGAGGACGUGCCUGGUGAAUCGAUGGAUCAUACAUCGUUCAUUUCUGAGUGGUCAGAUUAUAUCAUCUGAUUGAUU